rnacentral:rRNA from 1 species
UGCAAGUCGAACGGUAACAUUUCUAGCUUGCUAGAAGAUGACGAGUGGCGGACGGGUGAGUAAUGCUUGGGAACUUGCCUUUGCGAGGGGGAUAACAGUUGGAAACGACUGCUAAUACCGCAUAAUGUCUUCGGACCAAACGGGGCUUCGGCUCCGGCGCAAAGAGAGGCCCAAGUGAGAUUAGCUAGUUGGUAAGGUAACGGCUUACCAAGGCGACGAUCUCUAGCUGUUCUGAGAGGAAGAUCAGCCACACUGGGACUGAGACACGGCCCAGACUCCUACGGGAGGCAGCAGUGGGGAAUAUUGCACAAUGGGGGAAACCCUGAUGCAGCCAUGCCGCGUGUGUGAAGAAGGCCUUCGGGUUGUAAAGCACUUUCAGUUGUGAGGAAAAGUUAGUAGUUAAUACCUGCUAGCCGUGACGUUAACAACAGAAGAAGCACCGGCUAACUCCGUGCCAGCAGCCGCGGUAAUACGGAGGGUGCGAGCGUUAAUCGGAAUUACUGGGCGUAAAGCGCACGCAGGCGGUUUGUUAAGCUAGAUGUGAAAGCCCCGGGCUC